UGAGUAACCUGCCCUUAACUCUGGGAUAAGCCUGGGAAACUGGGUCUAAUACCGGAUAUGACUCCUCAUCGCAUGGUGGGGGGUGGAAAGCUUUUUGUGGUUUUGGAUGAGCUCGCGGCCUAUCAGCUAGUUGGUGUGGGUAAUGGCCCACCAAGGCGACGACGGGUAGCCGGCCUGAGAGGGUGACCGGCCACACUGGGACUGAGACACGGCCCAGACUCCUACGGGAGGCAG
rnacentral:rRNA from 1 species